GGAAAGGAUCUCAUUUCAUCAUCCACCUGCAGCACAGUGAGAACAGCAGAUGCGCAAUGGCUCUGAUCACACAGUAGAAAACAACGUUCCUACCAAUUUUUUUCUACAAGAUGGAAACUGUGCUUGCAUUUGCUUGCAUUUAAAGUGCCAUCAUCAAUGAGGCCUCUCUUCCAUGCGAGGUGGAAAGGAAUCUGAUGAUGCUCGUUUGCCUUGGCAGCCUGUGUCCUAAAGAUGAAC